GACGAACGCUGGCGGCGUGCCUAAUACAUGCAAGUUGAGCGCUGAAGGUUGGUACUUGUACCGACUGGAUGAGCAGCGAACGGGUGAGUAACGCGUGGGGAAUCUGCCUUUGAGCGGGGGACAACAUUUGGAAACGAAUGCUAAUACCGCAUAAAAACUUUAAACACAAGUUUUAAGAUUGAAAGAUGCAAUUGCAUCACUCAAAGAUGAUCCCGCGUUGUAUUAGCUAGUUGGUGAGGUAAAGGCUCACCAAGGCGAUGAUACAUAGCCGACCUGAGAGGGUGAUCGGCCACAUUGGGACCUGGACACGGCCCAAACUCCUACGGGAGGCAGCAGUAGGGAAUCUUCGGCAAUGGACGAAAGUCUGACCGAGCAACGCCGCGUGAGUGAAGAAGGGUUUCGGAUCGGAAAACUCUGUUGGUAGAGAAGAACGUUGGUGAGAGUGGAAAGCUCAUCAAGUGACGGUAACUACCCAGAAAGGGACGGCUAACUACGUG
rnacentral:rRNA from 1 species